UACGUAGGGUGCAAGCGUUAAUCGGAAUUACUGGGCGUAAAGCGUGCGCAGGCGGCUUUGCAAGACAGAUGUGAAAUCCCCGGGCUCAACCUGGGAACUGCAUUUGUGACUGCAUGGCUAGAGUGCGGCAGAGGGGGAUGGAAUUCCGCGUGUAGCAGUGAAAUGCGUAGAUAUGCGGAGGAACACCGAUGGCGAAGGCAGCCCCCUGGGAUAACACUGACGCUCAUGCACGAAAGCGUGGGGAGCAAACAGG
rnacentral:rRNA from 1 species